UAUUCGAUAUUUUUUAUUUAUAAAAUUAUUCUGACAUUUCUCAAGAUCAGUUUACAAUAAAAUAAUUUUAAAAAAAUUUUAAUAGUAAAAUAUAAUUGCUUUUUUCUACAAAAAAUACUUAAACAAGAUAUACUUUAUAUUCACAUCUGUCUAUUUUCAAAAAAUCUACUCUCAUUUUAUUUAUUGAUACAUUGAAGCAGAUAUACAAAAUUUACAAUGUUAAUAAAGCCAAGUUCAUGCAAAAACAUAAUAUAUAUUUCAUGCUUUUAAGUUGGUACAUAACCCAAAAUAUGUUAUGUAUAAUUAUUUUAAUAACUUAGUAACAUAAGCUUAUUGUUUCGAUUUAAUCAUUCCAUAAAUAACAUAAGAAAUAUGAUUAAUCCACUACAAAAAUUAUUUUCUUUUUUAAAAUAUUGGUAUUUUAGAUAUAUGCUUGUUACGGAAUUAUACAUGGUUGAAGAAUGGGAAAGAAAUUUUAUCAAUAUAUUUUUUGUUGUACUCUUCUUUUUCUUUUUUGUAUUCAAUUGUAAAAUAGUAUUACCAAUUAUACAAUAUAUGUCACAUUCAAAAUCAAUAAUAUUUUAAUUGUAUUUAUUCUAAAAAAAACAAUCUUGCAUUUUCAUUAAAAAAAUUUGUAACAUAUAAUUAACAUUGUAUGGUGAAAGUAAUAGUAAAUUGUAAUACUAAAUUGUAUUCAAAGUUGUAAAUUUGUAUUCAAAGUUACAUAUAAUUUUAGCAUUUUAAAAUGAAUUAAUAUAUUUUAUUAAAGAAAUAUCUCUAUUCGAAACCAUAUGUAUAUUCUAUUAUAUAAUUAAAUAUUAAACAUUCAAUCAACUAAUAA